GGGCCUAUAGUAAAGUGGUAUUACGCGGCAUUCGCAUUGCCGAGUCCAGGGUUCGACUCCCUGUAGGUCCA
rnacentral:tRNA from 1 species